rnacentral:rRNA from 1 species
UACGGGGGGGGGCAAGCGUUGUUCGGAAUUACUGGGCGUAAAGGGCUCGUAGGCGGCCAACUAAGUCCGACGUGAAAUCCCAAGGCUUAACCUUGGAACUGCGUCGGAUACUGGAUGGCGUGAAUUCGGGAGAGGGAUGCAGAAUUCCAGGUGUAGCGGUGAAAUGCGUAGAUAUCUGGAGGAAUACCGGUGGCGAAGGCGGCAUCCUGGACCGACAUUGACGCUGAUGAGCGAAAAGCUAGGGGGAGCAAACGGG